ACCAUCUUAGGAAGAUGACUCAGAGGACCAGAGCUGCAAGAGUUAUAGACUGGAUAUCAACAAAAAUGGUUUCAUUUCACGUGAAGACUACGAAAUCAUGAGCAAAAGAUUGACAGAAUACAGCAAUGUAACUGAAGAGCAAGCUAAAAAGAAUCCAUGCAUGAUUUUAUUCUAGUCGUAGCUGACAACAUAAAACUCACUGGUGAUACAAAGUUUCCGAAUUUGCUAUUAGUCAAGCUAUUCUUAAAGAGACAGAUGAUAAGUGAUAUCACCCACUCACCCCAUGCAGGCAUGCAGGCAUGUACUGUAUUUACAACACAUGCAGUAGUACAAUCCUUAGAUAAAGUUAUAAGGCAACCAGUUAUAAUCUUGAAAGGAGUUGUGUGAGAAGGAGUGUCCUAUAAUGAGCAAUACCAAAAGUUAACAGGUAUCCAUUAUGCUGGCAUAAUAGGCUAGAAGUACAAGCCAAUACGAAUUAUAGUAUAAAUAUUUGUAGGCCUGAUGGUCGUGCAUGUGAUGGAAGUGCUGAUGGUAUUACCUCCUUGGAAUUUUGCAUGCAUGAAAUGCUAACUGCAGUGGAAUGUAAUAGAUCUAUAGUACUUACAGUCAGCACCUGUGUUUACCAGGCUGCAUAAUUAUGUGUGACUCAAAGAACAAAGAGCAAGAGCUAUGGAGGUUACGGCUAAACUGGGCAUUCAUUAUCUUCAUGGCUCCCAUGUAUUCAACCAGUCUGUAUGGUAUUACUUCAUCCUUUCAUCAGUUUGUAACCAACCCAACUGAAGUUGAAAUUCUGUCACAAAACAACACUAAACAGAAGGUAUUGUCUAGCUAGUCUCGAAUGAAGGAAUCCAUCGUAAAGCAGCUUCGAGUGAAACUUUAAAUUGUGUUGUAUUAUAUAAUACCGCUUGAAUAAUACACUGUAUGCAUCUCAAUGCAGAUUGAGCCAGGCCUCGGAGAAUCUGAAUUAUUUUACUCCUUGUUAAUUUCAGGUACCAAUGUUGGUACUAUCAUUGGUGGGCUAGUGUGUGGAUUUCUUAUGAGGAUCGUUCCCUACUGGUAUUUGUGGGCAGUAUCACUAGUGGCACACACAAUUAGCUAUGUUAUGUACUGUGUUGUACAUCAAGGUUGGCUGAUGAUGAUUUCCAGGCUUCUUGCUGGGUAUUUCGCAGGUGCUACUCUUACACUCGGCUUCAGCUACUUCACUGACACCAGUGUUUUGUAUGUUGAAGAACUAAACAGAAUGAGAACUGGUGCCAAAACAGAAUCAGAGCGAGUUAGAAACUAUCUGUUUGCUACUUUUAGUGUUUCAAUGAACUUGGGAUUCAUUUUAGGACCAGGUUUGACAGUAAUUGUGGCACAGUUUGAGUCAGUGGAUCAGUUCAGGGCAAUUGGAUGGUUCAACGUUGCCUACGGUGUAGUUGUUUUGUGUGUAUUUGUGAUAUUGUUUCGGGGAGAAAUGAGUUUCAAAACUGACAGAUUGAGUUAUUGUCAAGUUAAGAAAAAGGAUUCUAACUGUCGAAUGCGGAAUAUGAGUCUACUGUCACUUUUCAUAUCCUUUCGAAUACAUUAUUAUCUUAAAGAGCAUGAUUGUAUACCUCAUUAUAUGCCUUAACUACGUCUAUACAUAAUAAUUUCAUUUAUUUUCUUGUUUCUAAUGGAAAGGAUCCGAAUGGCCUUUAUUGUAACUGUAUUCAAUCCCAUUGCCAGUGAUUCGUUUGGAAUUGAUGAGAAUAGUGCCUCGUACUUCGUCUUCGCUCUGUGUAUUCCUCAACUGGGAGGAUCAGUUUCAUUACUUGUUUUCCAAAGACUAAAGAUGUCUAGCCAGAUGAUUGUCCUGACAGGCAUCAUUACUACAAUGUGUGGAUAUUUAAUUGUGACUGAUUGGCAGACGAUUCCCUACGAUCCGUGCACAGAGUACAGUCCCUUUCAUCAUCCUGAAAUUGUCCAAUAUUAUGAAAAUAACACAAUCAUUGUAGGCAAGUUUCAAAAGAAUAUUGAAUCACAUGUUGAUUUCACUUUGCCCAAGCUGAAGAGUCAAGCUUUUGCCCAACAUUAACCUCAUAUUUGCUGAUGGUGCAUCUUUUGAGGCGGACUUAAGGAUUAAUCUCAGUUGUAGUCAUGUUUACAAUUGUACGUGUGCUCUAAAGAAUCCUACUUGUUUGUAUUUCAAAAUAAAUGAAAAUCUAAACACCGAGGAUCUAUAUUAUUACGACUGUAGUUCUGACUUCAACCUGAGAUCACCAAUCACAGCAUGUAUUACUCUAUCAAGACAUCAAACAGUACUGGCAGGUAAUAAAGCAACGACAUCUGUAGAUGAACAUGAAUCUGAAAUUGAAAGUAUCACUGUACUGCCAAAAAGAGUAUACUUCAUAGCCCGAAACACUUGCAUUGAGGCGAAUGUGACUGGUCACCAGUGUCACUGGAUACCCUCGUCCACAAUCACCAAGAAGGAGUGUAAAGACUGUCAGCCCAUCUGUAGGAGCGUGAGCCAGACACUCACUUUUGCUCAGUUUCUGGUUGGCAAUGGACUGUUGGUUUACACCAGUGCACUCCAGUAUGCUCCGAUCAUAUCAUUACUCAUGAACCAAACACCAAAAAACAAAUCCAGGGAAUUGUGAUUGGAUCCAUGACAGCUUUGGGCGGUGUAUCAUCAAGUGUGUUUCCUCUACUGAUCGAUGCUGUGUACGAAGAGAUGAAGAAAAGAGUGUUUUUGCUAACCAUACUUUUUGCUCUAGCACACAUUCCGUUUAUCCUUGAGAUUAUUGCACUCUACCCAAAACUGGGACCAAGAACUACGGACAACACAGACAUUGAAUACAGCAAAUUGAAUAAUUAGAACAUGUCGAUUGAUAAUAAUUAUUAUGCUAUAAUUAUACUCU